rnacentral:rRNA from 1 species
GACGAACGCUGGCGGCGUGCCUAAUACAUGCAAGUAGAACGCUGAAGGAGGAGCUUGCUCUUCUGGAUGAGUUGCGAACGGGUGAGUAACGCGUAGGUAACCUGCCUGGUAGCGGGGGAUAACUCUUGGAAACGCUAGCUAAUACCGCAUAAGAGAAGAUGUUGCAUGACAUUUGCUUAAAAGAUGCACUUGCAUCACUACCAGAUGGACCUGCGUUGUAUUAGCUAGUUGGUGGGGUAACGGCUCACCAAGGCGACGAUACAUAGCCGACCUGAGAGGGGGAUCGGCCACACUGGGACUGAGACACGGCCCAGACUCCUACGGGAGGCAGCAGUAGGGAAUCUUCGGCAAUGGACGGAAGUCUGACCGAGCAACGCCGCGUGAGUGAAGAAGGUUUUCGGAUCGUAAAGCUCUGUUGUUAGAGAAGAACGAGUGUGAGAGUGGAAAGUUCACACUGUGACGGUAUCUAACCAGAAAGGGACGGCUAACUACGUG